UCGAUUAAUACCUUUUUUAAUUGAUUAGUUAAUCGAUUAAUCCUUAGAAUAAUCGAUUAAAGAUAGUUGUUGGAGUUUUCUAAUUUUUCAAAACUGGUCGUUGUACUCAUUUUAAUCGAUUAACACUUGUAUUAAUCGAUUAAUAAUGUUAAAUGAGCAAUUACGAAGAAUGGAAGAGCGUUUGCUUGAGUCUAUAUAUAGGCCCUCUUUUUCCAUCAUGAUCAACUAUUCCC
rnacentral:lncRNA from 1 species